rnacentral:rRNA from 1 species
GACGGAGGAUGCAAGUGUUAUCCGGAAUCACUGGGCGUAAAGCGUCUGUAGGUGGUCAAAUAAGUCAACUGUUAAAUCUUGAGGCUCAACCUCAAAAUCGCAGUCGAAACUAUUAGACUAGAGUAUAGUAGGGGUAAAGGGAAUUUCCAGUGGAGCGGUGAAAUACGUAGAGAUUGGAAAGAACACCGAUGGCGAAGGCACUUUACUGGGCUAUUACUAACACUCAGAGACGAAAGCUAGGGUAGCAAAUGGG